AACAACAACAACAAAAAAGCUAAAAAGGCCUGGCAUGUCCUAAAGAAGAUUCCAGCUGAGCUGCCAGCGUGCUCGCCCCAUGAGCCUCCGUGGUGACUGGCUUGCGGGUGGGAAGUCAAUGACUUAAACACAGCAUCUCCCUGUGCAAAGAAGUUAUCAGGAAAGAGAAUAAGACAGAAACUGCUCCAGGGCCCACGUGAUCACCUGCAAACCAGCCGGUUCCGUUCCAACGGGAAGGGCCUUGGCACUGCCCUCGUCUCCGAUGAAAAAUGAGCCCCAUUCGAUGACUGACCUUCUCACCAAGCGCGGCUUCCACGGAAACACACAGGCUGUCUCGGCCACGGCUGUCACCUCCUCAGUCGCUAGCCGUGGCUGGGGGGGCCUGGCCGCGGGCAGGGAGGGGGCGGACACUGAACAGCGCGGCUCCGUGCAGUGGGCGCCGCCGCCUGAGGGAGGCUUGGCCAGAGGCAGAGGCGAGUGUUGCUGUGACUGGCGACGGUCGUGUCGCUUUUGAGAGAAUCGACUGAGAACGCCCUCACUUGCUUGGGAGACUAAAGGGGGUGCCUCUCCCAGCCCUUCCUCAGGGUGGAUCGGGGUGGCCAGUCCACAGACCCUGGGGUCUCUGAGCAGAAGCGCAGCUGCGAGUCAGGCCGUGUGCAGAGUGGCCAGCGUCUGUCUGUCUGUCCAGGUCUCCGGGCCGGGCUCCGGGACGGUACCCCGCCUGCUCUAUCCCCUGCACAGCACUAGGCUGACUCCGGAGGGAAGACAAGCUGUGAAGGAAUUCUGGCAAAGUUACUUGCAAAGACAGAGACCCAUGGACACACCUGUUCCCGCAGAUUUGCUCGCUAACCAAGGCCCAAGGAGCCUCAGGAACUUAAAUCACUGCGCGCAAUGGAUGAGCAGAAACUCCACAUUCGUGUUCAUUCGUUUUAAUGAACAAUUCCCCUCUGCUUAUCUACACGGGCUUCCUGUCAGGGUCCCGACCACCUCAUCUUUGACUUCCCUAUACCAUCUGCUUUAUUUUUGCAGCCGAACAAUACAACCCAUCCCCAAACCCACCCGAGGGGCCCUUUAGGGAAAGGGAGGAAGCUGGGGUGACGUGGGAAGAAGAGGCCCUGUUAGCCACGGAGACUUGCCCACGAGGCAGGAGGGUCCUUUCGGAUGAUCAAAGCGUUCGUCAUAUUUUUCACCCCAGCACAGCACCGCGCAUUUGCCCAGCUUCCCAAGGUGACGCUAUCGCGGGGUUGGGGCGUCCGGAAUCAAGACAUUGGAGGGUCGGGAGUGAAACUGCCUCCACCAUCGAUGACCCCUGCGGUGCCGCCUUACAGGACGAGGAAGAGGCGCGUCUCUGGCGUCUGGGGUGCGGAGAGCUGCUGGCUACGGUUCUUGGAGAUGGUUUGCUCCCCAGCCCAUCGAAGACUGAGCAGUGGCACUGGAGUUGCUCGGCCUCUGAGGGUCCCACUUGGUCUACGCAACAAGGACAGCAGGUCAACCCCAGUGGAGGCCCCCGCGGCUCUGUCCUCAGGGCGAAUCUGUCCUUCUCCAGCUCGUCACAGGGGAAGCGCACCCUAGUGUGGAAGUCCUGGGUUCCAUCAGCAAGAAAAUGUUCACUUAUUUUUAAAAUAAAUUCACUCCCGCAACUCA